AUGAAUCUUGAGGAGGGCGAGAAGGACAUGGAAGCUAGGAGUAGGGCGAAGAUGGAGGCCCGCCGACCGCCGUUGCCAGUUGGGCGGAAACGACGCAGGAGCUGCGACAGCCCAUAAAACGAUGUCAGAUGAGGACAGCAUGGGACCUGGUGCCCAUCGGGGAGCCAAUCAAGCCAAUAGGCAAGGAAAUAAAUUGAAGCGCCUCAGCUCCUUCCACUGCGAGAGCAAUGCCUUCGUACUGAUGUAGAGCGAGCAAGGACACGAAGACAGAGGAUGCAUUUUUUUAGAUUCUUGGUUCUGAAAAGCCAAAUAAGUAAAAAAAUGCCAAUUGUACAUGCCCUCUUAUACCAUUUGGGUGAUAUUCUCUGUCCUUUUAGCCUUUCAUCCCCUCCAGUGAUUUUUUUUGGAAACAACUUCUGUGAUUUGAUUGUUCGAAAAUAUGAAAACAAUCACUAAAAUUUGAUUGUGAAUCA